UGGUCAAGUGAGUUCCCUCUUCCCUCUUGUGAAGGAAGAGAGGAGUAACACUGCAUGCAUAAUUGCAUAUCAUGUGUCACAUCAAAUGUCACGUGAAAGAAGAAUGACAUUUAUGAAGGAAGAGAGAGACUGUCUGCGCAACUUCAUCACACAACUCAAAAUCCAGCGUCUACUCUACUCUGUUUAUGAUAUUGUGAUAAUAACAAAACAAGAAAAUAUGCAAAGGCAAGGUGACACUGUGUUCCUUGAGGAUUGGCUGAAGCGCAGGUCUGGUGCCGACCCUAACAAACCCCCCCCACCCAACGCCAGAGCCAUCGUUCAGGCAUGGGCCGACCUCCGAGCCUCCCUCCAAUCCUCUUCCUUCGCUCAACAGCACCUCUACCAUCUCAACACCUUAGUCAAUUCCCAAGCCUCUCUCCAUGUUGCCGAACCCCAGGCUCGCCUUCUCCUCGCCAUUCUCCAAUCUCCCAACCUCUCUCUCCCACGCCACUCCUUUCCUCUAUUCUUCAGACUCCUUUACGUUUGGGCGCGAAAAGCCGCAAACCCUAACCCUGCCGUUAUCGAUUCCGCGGUUGAGGUUCUCUCUCGUGUCAUUUUCUCUUCUCAGUUGGAUUAUUGCACUCCGAUGUUUUUCUCUGAAGCGAUUCUACUUUUGGGUGCGUUUUCUUUUGUGCAUUCUUUGUCUGAAAGAACUAAGACGCUGUGUUUGGACAUGUUAUGUAAAGUGUUGAUAGAUAGGGGUGAGAUAUUAGGUUCCUUUGUGCCUGAUGUGCUGGCUGGGAUUGGGUAUGCUUUAUCGUCUUCUGUGGAUGUUCAUUGUGUGAAAUUAUUGGGUUCUAUGUUUGGGAUUUGGGGUAAGGUAAAUGGGCCUCGAGGUAGUGUUGUUGAUGGGCUCAUGGUUCUUUAUCUGAUUGAGUGGGUUGUGUUGAACUUGAUUAAAUUUGGUUAUUUGGAUAAGAUACGCGUUUUUGUUGAAGAAGGUUUUCGGGAUUCUGAGGGGCGUGCUUUGUUUGCUGUUUUCAUGGCUGCGGUUGGAGCUUUGAGAGCUGCUGAUAGGUCUGCGAUGAGUGGUGUGAAAUUGGAUGUUUUAGCGGGAAUGAGGGCUUCUGCUGUUGCUUGGAUUGAGGGUUUUGUUAGUGGUUUGGUUUCUAGGACGUUGAGGUUUAAUAACUUGGCCAGUGAUCCUGAAGACAGGCUUUUGCUUCGGUGUGUCUCGUUGGGAUUGGCUCGAACUGGAUCAUUCUCGGGCCAUUCCUCCUUGUUUGUUUGUCUUGCUUUGGCAUUGACGAGUGAAAUAUUGCCAUUGACACGUCUUUAUGAAUCGGAAAAUGAAAAUUCAGGUAGUUCGAGUGGACUGGAGGUUAAUGAGAUCAAAGAACAUCUGGAUAGUAUCUCGUUCAAGGAAGCAGGAGCCAUAACGGGGGUUUUCUGCAAUCAAUAUGUUUUAGCUGAUGAAGAAAAUAAGGCUAUGGUGGAGAAUCUUAUAUGGGAAUACUGUCGGGGUAUCUACUUUAGACACAGGCAAGUGGCCAUGAUUCUUAAAGGCAAGGGGGAUGAGAUGCUUGAGGGUCUGGAAAAAAUUGCAGAAUCUGCUUUCCUUAUGGUCGUGGUCUUUGCCUUAGCUGUAACAAAGCACAAGUUAAACCCCAAAUUUUCUCAAGAAGUACAGAUGGAAGUCUCGCUGAAGAUACUUGUUUCAUUUUCUUGCGUGGAAUAUUUUCGCCAUGUCCGCUUGCCAGAGUAUAUCGAAACCAUUCGCAAGGUGGUUGCAGGUGUUAAGAAUGAGCAUGCUUGUUCUUGUUUUGUGAACUCCAUGCCCUCUUAUGUUGACUUGACAAAUGGCCCAGACCAGAAAACCAAAUACUUAUGGUCCAAGGAUGAAGUGCAAACAGCUCGCAUUUUGUUUUAUCUGCGGGUCAUUCCGACUUUCAUUGAAUGUUUGCCCAGGCCUGUGUUCCGUGACAUGGUAGUUCCAACUAUGUUCUUAUAUAUGGAGCACCCAAAUGGAAAAGUAGCUCGAGCCUCUCAUUCUGUGUUCAUGGCAUUUAUGACUAUGGGGAAGGAAUCUGAAAAGAAUGAUAAAGUUUCAUUGAAGGAGCAGCUUGUUUUCCAUUACAUACAAAGAUCCUUAUUGAGAUAUCCUGGCAUUACUCCCUUCGAGGGUAUGGCUUCUGGGGUUGUAGGAAUGGUCCAACAUCUUCCUGCUGGAAGCCCUGCUAUUUUUUACUGCAUUCACAGUCUUGUUGAAAAAGCCAAUCAGCUCUGUUCUGAAGUAUUUGCUCAUGAGGCUGAUGCAUGGAAGAAGCGGCAAGGAGAACCAGAACCAAGCAAGAAAUUAAUGGACUUGCUCUUACGCUUAGUUUUCCUUGUUGAUAUACAAGUCUUGCCCGAUUUGAUGAAACUAUUGGCACAGCUGAUCACUAAGUUUCCACAAGAUGCUCAGAACAUUGUUCUCAAUGAGUUAUAUUCACAAGUGGCUGAUUCUGAUGAUGUUGUCCGCAAACCCACAUUGGUUUCAUGGCUGCAGUCAUUAUCUUACCUUUGCACAAAGACUACAAAUCAAAAUGCAGCUUACCACAAAAGUGAAAGUGAAGACAAUCUGACUUUGGCUGGUAUUGCAGAACCAUUAAACAGUGGAAGAGCAACUGCACGACUCUAAGAGAUUCAGGUUUCUCAAUCGACUUUUCAUAUCAUACUUGAGGAAGGAUUUUAUCAGCCUCUACAGCUGUUCAUUCUCAUCCUCCAUAGCUUCCCAACCAAGACCUGUAUUCAAUUCAGCCUCCAGAGCCGUGAGGACUAAUGUUGCUUACCAGAGUUCCUGAUUCAGAUGUCUGUAGCAAUUAAAAGAAGAUUUUGUAUGCUACUGAUGCAAAGAAUCAGCAUUAUAUUCAGGAUUUCCUUUACUGAACCUUGAAUCCUGUUGAAGCUGAAGCUGAAAGUGAAACCUGAUUACUCCCAAAAGUGAAGCAGAAAGUGGAGCCUGAUUACACCCAAAAGCCUUCUGUGAUGACGAGAUAGCGACUAAUCCUUCCCCAUGAUAUGGCCAUAUGAACUGUCAUAGUUGUAGCGGUGUGGUGCUCUUCUUUUCUUGUAAACUGGAUGGAUAAUCAGAGGAUAUUCUCACUGGUCUUUCCAGUAAACAGUGCUCUUCUCAUCUUCCUGUUCACCUCUUUCAAGAAGAGCUUUUCUGUUGAACUUGCCUUAAAUGGAUGUGGUGCUGCAAUUGUAUUUUGUAUGAUUGGAGCCUCUGCUGUAUAAAUUAGUUGUUAAGUCUUUCUGAAUACUUGGUGAUGUGAAACAAUUCUGAUUCAAAAUGACUUAAUUGCUGUGUCCAAUUUUGGUGUUAUAUGAUUAUGAAAUCAUCCUUAAUUGAAUUCUU